rnacentral:rRNA from 1 species
CGCUGGCGGCGUGCCUAAUACAUGCAAGUCGAACGCACUCUCGUUUAGAUUGAAGGAGCUUGCUCCUGAUUGAUAAACAUUUGAGUGAGUGGCGGACGGGUGAGUAACACGUGGGUAACCUGCCCUAAAGUGGGGGAUAACAUUUGGAAACAGAUGCUAAUACCGCAUAAAACCCAACACCGCAUGGUGUAGGGUUGAAAGAUGGUUUCGGCUAUCACUUUAGGAUGGACCCGCGGUGCAUUAGUUAGUUGGUGAGGUAAAGGCUCACCAAGACCGUGAUGCAUAGCCGACCUGAGAGGGUAAUCGGCCACACUGGGACUGAGACACGGCCCAGACUCCUACGGGAGGCAGCAGUAGGGAAUCUUCCACAAUGGACGAAAGUCUGAUGGAGCAACGCCGCGUGAGUGAAGAAGGUUUUCGGAUCGUAAAACUCUGUUGUUGGAGAAGAAUGUAUCUGAUAGUAACUGAUCAGGUAGUGACGGUAUCCAACCAGAAAGCCACGGCUAACUACGUG